rnacentral:lncRNA from 1 species
AUGGAACUGAGCCUGGCAGACACUGCAAAUGAGGCCCCUGCCAGCCAGGGGAAGCAUUGAUAGGCACACUGAGGGUAUGCUGAAGAAGGCAGUGAGGUCCAGCUCCAGGAAGCUGCAGCAACAUUAGGCCACUGCAGCGGACCUCAUUUUCAGAAGGAUUUUAAGCCAAAGCCCAAGGUUUAUUAUAAAGGACUUACAAAGGACAAAGACGAAGAGACACAUAGGGCAAGGUACCAGGGAAGGGGCACAGAGCUUCCAUGCCCUCCCUGGGCGCAUCACUCUACAGGAACCUCCCUGUGUUCAGCUAUCCAGAAGCUCUCCAAACUCCAUCCUCUUGGGCUUUAAUGGAAGCUUCGCAAGCCCUCAAGAUACAUGAAGCUGUGGGCCCUCAGAAACAUCUGGCUCAGCAGAAAUGACUGCAGGGUCUGCCUCUGAAGCCCAGCGUUUCUACUCCAUUUGGGAUAUUCCACACAGGAAGAGAAUUGGAAAUGCUGGAGAAGCUCUGGAAGCCCACAGAGAACAGAUGCAUAAACACCAUUUACCAGACACAGCUCAGCAAACCCUCUCUCUCUUCCUUCCAGCAGCUUGGUUGUCCUCAAGGAGUUCCUAAAUUUCAUACUUCUGAGGGUUAUAUGGGAUGGUGAGGGGUGGAGGAGAGUAGCACGGAUUGAAAAAUACAUUAAUGUUGGCUGGGCACAGUGGCUCACACCUGUAAUCCCAGCGCUUUGGGAGGCCGAGGCUGGUAGAUCACCUGAGGUCAGGAGUUUGAGACCAGCCUGGCCAACAUGGCGAAACCCCAUCUCUACUAAAAAUACAAAAUUUAGCUGGGUGUGAUGGCACAUGCUUGUAAUCCCAGCUACUCAGGAGGCUGAGGCAGGAGAAUCGCUUGAACCCAGGAAGCGGAGGUUGCAGUGAGCUGAGAUUGCAGCAUUGCACUCCAGCCUGGGCAACAAGAGAGAUGCUCCAUCUUAAAAAAAAAAAGAAAAAUACAUUAAAGUGUACCAAAAUAAAUAUAUGACAGCUUUUAAAUUAUUUUCCAUGGGAAAAAAACUUAUAAUUAGUGACAAUUACUUACUGAGGGCCUGCUGGGCUAGACAUUAUGGACAUUGUGAAAGAUAAAAAGUUCAAGACACAGACUCUGUUUUCAGGAUGUGUACGCUUUAAAUAUGAAGUUAACACAGGGCAGAAAAGUAGAUACACACAUGCACACACAUACCUAUACACACAUACCUACACACACACACACACACACACACACACACAAAUACUCCUCAGACCCAAAGGACGGAGACAUCACAAUGAACAAGAUGAACAAUUGGUAGGAUUUUAAAAGACUAUUUUCUUUUUCAGCAAGGAGGAUGGAGUGGGCAGGUAGGGGAUGGUAUUUAUUUCCCAAGCAAAUCAAUUAGAAAAAAUAUUUGUAUUUCAGUAAAUUUAUUUUUUUCAAUCUUCAGAUAUAAGAAGGCUUUUCCAUGAAAAACACUCUAUUUA